UAUUCUUUCAACCUUCCACAUUAUAAUAAGGGGUAGUGUUUAUUUCAUACUUCAAGUGACUGAUACUCAUCCACAAUUCAGCAAAAAGAAAAAACUCACCAACAACAUUGGUUAACCAAUUCACUGAGACUAAAACUAUUUAGAACUUCUAGAGAGGAGAGUCCUUUAUUUUUUUAAGAGAGAGAGCUAAGAUGGAGCGAAGGGUGGUGGUGAUAUGUGCUGUUGUCGGAGUCUUAGGGCUCUCAUCAGUUAUUCUUGGUUUUGUUGCUGAGGCUACAAAGAUUAAGAUGUCUCAGGUGAUGUUUAACGGCUCCAAUUGUGUACGCCCACAGAGUCCAGCUACAGCUCUUGGUCUAGUUGCACUACUGGCUAUUAUUUUAGCUCAAAUAAUUAUGAGUGUUGCAACUGGGUGUAUUUGUUGUUGUUGUAAAAGAGGUUCUCAUCCCAAUAGCUCUAACUGGAUAGAAGCACAGAUCUGCUUUGUCUUUUCCUGCUUUAAGGAGCUUUUUUAAAAUUAUCAUCAACAUGCUAAAGAACUGUAAACCCCCUAAGGGAGCCUUAACGCAAAGCCAGAAGACCUUUAAUAAGGAUUACAGUUGUCAUAGCGGCUAUUGUGUUAUGGCUUGCUUCUUUAUACAAUAGUUAUAACGACUCAACCGUCCCGUGCGAUGUUACUCCACCUGGAGUCUUUGCUGCGGGUGCCAUUUUGUGCCUUGUAAGUGUGGUUUUGGGUCUUGCUUCUUAUAUUUUAAGUUUGCAAAAGAACAGUAACAAUCUUUUUCAAGGAGACAUAGCUAUGGCACAACCUCAGUUUGCAGGGGGGACUAGUAUUUUUCAAGGAGCCACGCCUAUAGGACAACCUCAAUACCAAUGGGACAAUCCUGCUGUUCCUAAUCAAGGAGACAUGCCUAUGGGACAUACUAAGUUCCCACAAUAGGUUACUCAAGAACACGUUGUAUAUCAUGAAUGGGAGAGUAUGAUGCUUAUGUAAUAAACGUACGCAUUUGCUAUAUGUGGAAUUUGAUCAGUUGUUUAUUGGUUUGGUUAAUUGAAGUUUGGCUUUGCCGCUUUGUGUUGUGUUUUGCA